rnacentral:rRNA from 1 species
UAUUAUUUUAUGUGUAUUUAUUGAAGGCUUGAGUAGUAAAAGUUAAGUUCUAAAAACUCAAAGAAUUUGGCGGUAUUUUAGUCCUUUCAGAGGAAUCUGUUCCGUAAUUGAUAAUACACGUUUAGUUAUACUUGAUUUAUUAGUUUAUAUACCGCCGUCGUAAGAAUAUCUUGUUGAGAGUAAUAAAUUUCUUGAAAUAUAAUGAAAUUAUAAGUCAGGUCAAGGUGUAGUUUAUAAUUGAGUGGAAAUGGAUUACAAUAAAAAUAUUUAUAUGAAUAUUAAUUUAAAAUUUUAAUUGAAGGUGGAUUUGAUUGUAAAUUUAAUUUAAUUAUUAAUUUGAUUUAGGCUCUAAAAUGUGCACAUAUCGCCCGUCGCUCUCAUUAUUAUUGAG